GAUGAACGCUGGCGGCGUGCCUAAUACAUGCAAGUCGAGCGAACAGACGAGGAGCUUGCUCCUCUGACGUUAGCGGCGGACGGGUGAGUAACACGUGGAUAACCUACCUAUAAGACUGGGAUAACUUCGGGAAACCGGAGCUAAUACCGGAUAAUAUAUUGAACCGCAUGGUUCAAUAGUGAAAGACGGUUUUGCUGUCACUUAUAGAUGGAUCCGCGCCGCAUUAGCUAGUUGGUAAGGUAACGGCUUACCAAGGCAACGAUGCGUAGCCGACAUGAGAGGGUGAUCGGCCACACUGGAACUGAGACACGGUCCAGACUCCUACGGGAGGCAGCAGUAGGGAAUCUUCCGCAAUGGGCGAAAGCCUGACGGAGCAACGCCGCGUGAGUGAUGAAGGUCUUCGGAUCGUAAAACUCUGUUAUUAGGGAAGAACAAAUGUGUAAGUAACUAUGCACAUCUUGACGGUACCUAAUCAGAAAGCCACGGCUAACUACGUG
rnacentral:rRNA from 1 species